UAGCACCAUUUGAAAUCGGUUA
rnacentral:ncRNA from 55 species